AGAGUUUGAUCCUGGCUCAGGACGAACGCUGGCGGCGUGCUUAACACAUGCAAGUCGAACGAGAGGAGAAGGAAGCUUGCUUCUUUCAAAUCUAGUGGCAAACGGGUGAGUAACACGUAAACAACCUGCCUUCAGGAUGGGGACAACAGACGGAAACGACUGCUAAUACCGAAUACGUUCCUUAGGUCGCAUGACUUUAGGAAGAAAGGGUGGCCUCUACUUGUAAGCUAUCGCCUGAAGAGGGGUUUGCGUCUGAUUAGGUAGUUGGUGAGGUAACGGCCCACCAAGCCGACGAUCAGUAGCCGGUCUGAGAGGAUGAACGGCCACACUGGAACUGAGACACGGUCCAGACUCCUACGGGAGGCAGCAGUGGGGAAUCUUCCGCAAUGGGCGAAAGCCUGACGGAGCAACGCCGCGUGAGUGAUGACGGCCUUCGGGUUGUAAAGCUCUGUGAUCGGGGACGAAUGGUCAGUAGAUGAAUACUCUGCUGAAGUGACGGUACCCGAAUAGCAAGCCACGGCUAACUACGUGCCAGCAGCCGCGGUAAUACGUAGGUGGCAAGCGUUGUCCGGAAUUAUUGGGCGUAAAGCGCGCGCAGGCGGCUUCUUAAGUCCAUCUUAAAAGUGCGGGGCUUAACCCCGUGAUGGGAUGGAAACUGAGAGGCUGGAGUAUCGGAGAGGAAAGUGGAAUUCCUAGUGUAGCGGUGAAAUGCGUAGAGAUUAGGAAGAACACCGGUGGCGAAGGCGACUUUCUGGACGACAACUGACGCUGAGGCGCGAAAGCGUGGGGAGCAAACAGGAUUAGAUACCCUGGUAGUCCACGCCGUAAAC
rnacentral:rRNA from 1 species